rnacentral:rRNA from 1 species
CAGCCGCCACGGGAAUACAGAGGGUGCGAGCGUUAAUCGGAUUUACUGGGCGUAAAGCGUGCGUAGGCGGCUAAUUGAGUCGGAUGUGAAAUCCCCGAGCUUAACUUGGGAAUUGCAUUCGAUACUGGUUAGCUAGAGUGUGGGAGAGGAUGGUAGAAUUCCAGGUGUAGCGGUGAAAUGCGUAGAGAUCUGGAGGAAUACCGAUGGCGAAGGCAGCCAUCUGGCCUAACACUGACGCUGAGGUACGAAAGCAUGGGGAGCAAACAGGAUUAGAUACCCCAGUAGUCCCUGUCUCUUAUAC